rnacentral:rRNA from 1 species
AAGAGUUUGAUCAUGGCUCAGGAUGAACGCUAGCUACAGGCUUUAACACAUGCAAGUCGAGGGGCAUCAGUUUGGUUUGCUUGCAAACCAAAGCUGGCGACCGGCGCACGGGUGAGUAACACGUAUCCAACCUACCUCAUACUCGGGGAUAGCCUUUCGAAAGAAAGAUUAAUAUCCGAUAGCAUAUAUUUCCCGCAUGGGUUUUAUAUUAAAGAAAUUCGGUAUGAGAUGGGGAUGCGUUCCAUUAGUUUGUUGGGGGGGUAACGGCCCACCAAGACUACGAUGGAUAGGGGUUCUGAGAGGAAGGUCCCCCACAUUGGAANUGAGACACGGUCCAAACUCCUACGGGAAGCAGCAG